CCUACGGGUGGCAGCAGUGGGGGAUAUUGCACAAUGGGGGGAACCCUGAUGCAGCGACGCCGCGUGGAUGAAGAAGCGCCUCGGCGCGUAAAGCCCUUUCAGCAGGGAAGAAAAUGACGGUACCUGAGGAAUAAGCCCCGGCUAACUACGUGCCAGCAGCCGCGGUAAUACGUAGGGGGCAAGCGUUAUCCGGAUUUACUGGGUGUAAUGGGGGCGCAGGCGGGGAUUCAAGCCAGGAGUGAAAGCCCGGGGCCCAACCCCGGGAUUGCACUUGGAACUGCGUGGCUGGAGUGCAGGAGGGGCAGGCGGAAUUCCUGGUGUAGCGGUGAAAUGCGUAGAUAUCAGGAGGAACACCGGUGGCGAAGGCGGCCUGCUGGACUGCAACUGACGCUGAGGCUCGAAAGCGUGGGGAGCAAACAGGAUUAGAUACCCGGGUAGUC
rnacentral:rRNA from 1 species